rnacentral:rRNA from 1 species
GACGAACGCUGGCGGCGUGCUUAACACAUGCAAGUCGAACGGAAAGGCCCUGCUUUUGUUGGUUGCUCGAGUGGCGAACGGGUGAGUAACACGUGAGUAACCUGCCCUUGACUUUGGGAUAACUUCAGGAAACUGGGGCUAAUACCGGAUAGGAGCUCCUGCUGCAUGGUGGGGGUUGGAAAGUUUCGGCGGUUGGGGAUGGACGCGCGGCUUAUCAGCUUGUUGGUGGGGUAGUGGCUUACCAAGGCUUUGACGGGUAGCCGGCCUGAGAGGGUGAGCGGCCACAUUGGGACUGAGAUACGGCGCAGAAUCGUACGGGAGGCAGCAGUGGGGAAUAGUGCAAAAUGGGCGGAAGCCUGAUGCAGCAACGCCGCGUGCGGGAUGAAGGCCUUCGGGUUGUAAACCGCUUUCGCCUGUGAUGAAGCGUGAGUGACGGUAAUGGGUAAAGAAGCACCGGCUAACUACGUG